rfam:Gossypium raimondii Chr07_contig_180, whole genome shotgun sequence.
UUUUAAAAAUUUCAUCAAUUUUUACUAUUAAAAACCGAUACGACUGACUAAAGAGUUAGAUAGUUACAUAUGACGUGCCAUGUAUAUUUUAGAUUGACAUAUAUAGACCAAUUUUUAACAAUAAAUAUAGAUAAAAAUUUUAAAA